GAAUUUGGGCCAUGGAUUAUUAUUAGGGAGGGAAGGAACAGCUCGCUCUAGGACUCGGUAUCUAACAUUUCCGCAGAUAACUGAUAACCAUAACGGGCAGUAGCAGAUUUCGCUUUGUAAAUCAAUUUGUUCUCCGCCAUGGAAUCCAUUGCCUCGCUUUUUUCAUCUCCUUUUAGCCACUGCAGAAAUCCGAAAUUGCUCCAUGGAUCCCGAGCACUAUCGAAGGCCAGUUUCUCCGCCGCCUGGCUCACGGGUCGGCGUUCUUUUUCUGUAUCGGGGAGGCGGUCCACUUGGAUGAUAGGUCGGCGAAGCUUCCACAUCAGGGCUACGUCGUCUUCUUUUGAAUCGGAGUCGUCAGCUGACGAUUCAGCUCCUAUUGCCCCUCUGCAGCUGGAGUCUCCGGUUGGGCAGUUCCUCUCUGAGAUCCUCCUCAGUCACCCUCAUCUUGUUCCGGCUGCUGUUGACCAGCAGCUGCAGUUGCUUCAGACAGCUCGUGAUGAGGAUAAGAGCAAUGAUGAGUCACCCUCUUCUGGCACCGAACUAGUUUUGUACAGGAGAAUUGCUGAAGUGAAGGCUAAUGAAAGGAGAAGGGCUCUUGAAGAGAUGCUGUAUGCUUUGGUCGUCCAAAAAUUUGUAGAAGCUAAUGUUUCUUUGAUUCUUCCAUUAUCACAAUCAGCAGACCAUUCUAAUAGGAUGGAUAGAUGGUUUCCGGAGGAGGAGAAGAUGGUGCAGCUCCAUUCUCAUGAGGCUUAUGUGAUGAUCAAGAAUCAUCUCACACUCAUUUUAGGACAGAGAUUGGAGGAUUUGAACACUGUUGCUCCAAUCAGUAAGCUUCGCGUUGGGCAGGUCUAUGCAGCCUCUGUCAUGUAUGGUUAUUUCCUUAAGAGAGUGGAUGAGCGCUUUCAGCUUGAAAAAUCAAUGAAGACCUUACCCUGGGGAUCUGACGAGGAAGAGAAUGCCAUUAAGAUGGCAAUUCCUGAUGAAUCCAGGCCUUCAGCUCAAGUUGCAAAUUCAAUAUCAAAGUUACAAACUUGGUAUUCCCCUAGCUCAAACUCCAGUGGGUCUGAGCGUGGGGUCAAAUCAGCUCGUUUGAGAUCUUAUGUUAUGUCCUUUGAUUCGGAUACCUUGCAAAGGUAUGCCACAAUACGGUCAAAAGAGGCCUUUAGUGUUGUUGAGAAGCAGACUGAGGCAUUAUUUGGGAGGCCUGAGAUAGUAAUCAACCCCCAAGGUGCUAUUGAUGACUCUAAGGAUGAGCUUAUCAAAAUAAGCUUUGGAGGUUUAAGAAGACUUAUUCUGGAAGCUGUCACAUUUGGAUCUUUCCUUUGGGAUGUUGAAAGCUAUGUGGAGUCGAGGGACUUCAACAUAGUGAUGCUACAUAUUCCUUUACUUACAGUGAAAUUUUGCAUCUUGAUUUCUACCGCUCAUCUACCGAAGUUCUGUUAUUGUUUAUUAUAUGGUGUAAUCAAGGAACUUGGUUUUGUCACAAGAGACGAUUGCCAGCUUAGGAAAACCUUCUAUGUGCUGCUCCAAGUCCCAAACCUAGAUUCGAUAAUGAGAGACGGGCAUGUCCCAAGCCAAGGUUACUACAACAGUACAACUUCUGGAAAUGUCGGUCAACUUAAAGUUGUCCUGAAAUAGUUUCUGGAAGAAACCUAUGACACAGCAUAGAUUAUGCGCCAAUUCCAAAUUUCACAAGAGGUUUUGAAGAGGAGAAGCUAGUAAGCAAUAUUACAGAUGAAUAGAACAAAUGAGGACUCUUAAAAAAUCAUAUGAACAACACCUACAGACAUCAACACACAUUGCCGACAUGGGCACUGGGAAGGCAAUGAGAUCUCUAGCAGGGCUACCCACUACUACAGCUCAACUGCUUUCCAGAUCAAGCUGGGGUUUGUUUGCUCAUCUCUUAUUAUAGGAUAUUGCAUCAUCAAACACAUGCUUAGAUUUAGCAAAGAUCAGCGG